GAACAAUAUCAGCCGAAUCCUGGCUAGCCAGGUACGGGGGACGAUUUUCAUGGGGUUAAUGUGCGUUGCACACGGGCAACUCCUGCCCGCACCCGUCAACUAACCUCGGAGGCGUAGGAGGCUAUCAUA
rnacentral:sRNA from 2 species